rnacentral:rRNA from 1 species
GGCAUGAAGACACACUGCUAACUCCGAAUACGCACAAGCCCGUAAUGGAGCGACGGUGGGCCUUGUUCCCGUGCCCCGAUGUGGGGUGGAGGUGACUGUGGGUUGUGAUAUUCGGGGAGGCAAAAGAAGUAGCGAGUCUAACCUUGCUUACCACUUUG